AAAGACUUUUGUAUAGCUAUUAUAACUUUUUACCAGAGAAUUGCUUUAUAUGGCUUUGAAUUCGAAAAUUAAUGAUUUUAUAAUAAUUGUGAUUAAUUUUGAAUGGAAUAUCAGAUCAUAAUAAAAAAAAAAAUACAAACAUGUUGCAACUUGUAUAUCUUCAAACAUGCAUUUUUAAAUCUUUCGUUAAAAAAUGGUUUUACUUAGUUAAGUCUCAACUUUAAGUUGAGUUGAACUUCACUCAAGACUAAAUUCACGUGAGGAGUACUGUUUGAUAGACACAACUACAUAGUUAUUACUUACUCAAGACUUAAUUUUUUAACAACUACGAAGACUUCGUAGUUGUUCGUAGACUUCGUCAUAGUUAUCUGUAUCAUACAUAAUUUUUAUGUAUCAUUCAGUGUACAUGUACACUGUAUGACGUACAAUGUACAGGCUAAGUUCUUAAGUCUUAUACACACAAUGUAUUUAGUAUAUAUAUACGUUCUGUAUCAUACAGUGUAUACACUGUAUGAUACAGAAUGUAUACAUAUACUACAUACAUUGACAAUGUCAUUGUGUGUAUAAGAGUUGAGAAUUUAGCCUUAAUGUGGGAGCUACGACUUAAGUCUUAACUCUCUCAAGUUGAGUCUUAACUUUAGAUUAUACACUAAUAUACAAUAUGUAAAUCAUUUAAAUUUUACUAAAUGUAUGAUACUGAGUAGUUAUCUAUAUUGUACAGAUUUUAUUGUACAGUGUACUACAUAAUAUGUCGUACAUUUUUAUUUAUACUGUGUGUACCAUAUACAUUGUUAGUAAAUAUAGUUAGUGCUAAUAUUGUUUAAUUAUCAUUUUCAAACUUUUUCAUAAAAAAUUAAUGAAUAAGUUUGGUUAAAUUUGUAUAAAAUCCCUUUUUUUUUUCUUUUUUUUUUUUUAAGCUAUGCAAGUACUCUGUAAAGGUAUUGUUUUAAAAUAAACAAAUUAAAUCAGGAAAAGAAGUGAUUGUUAUAGAACUCAGAAAGGCUGAAAAGCGAAACGAAGGCUGUUAAAGAAAAAAAAGGUUGUUAAAGAAAAAAAAGGUUGUUAAAAAAAUUAGAAAGGUUAAAUAACGAGAAGAAGUGGUUUUUAAUGGAAAAAUCAGAAAGGUUGAAUCACAAGAAGAAGUCUUAAUAAAAGAAUUUGAUAGGGUUAAAUUAUGCAAAAAAGUGGUUGUGAAAAGAAAUCACAUUAAUUGUUUGUUUGAGAGCAAUAGUUUUAGCAGCAGUUAUGGCAAUGUCUAAAGCUCGUCAAACCAAAGAUGCAAGUUCAAAGAUUUCUAUCAAAUUGUAUCAAGAGGAGCAUUCGAACGUUAUAGUUGCUCUCAAGCGAAGUGAAGAUUCAAGAUUCGUAAGGAUGCUUAGCAGUUGAGAAGAACAUUAAUAUGUUUGAAUAUAUUUUGUACGAAUAUUUUAACAUAAUUAUAAUAGUUAUUGCAA